AUCGAUGAAGAACGCAGCGAAAUGCGAUAAGUAAUGUGAAUUGCAGAAUUUAGUGAAUCAUCGAAUCUUUGAACGCACAUUGCACCUCUUGGUACUCCUUGAGGUAUAUCUGUUCGAGCGCCGUUUUACUUUAAGACUAUGUCUUGUGUUGAUAGUAUCAGUAAUGAUCUAUCAAAAUAUAUCUGCCGCUACUUAUGUUUGGGUACACAGUUUAAUGUGUUGUUUAAACAUUAGGUAGUUGCAAAACACUUUACAAAAACAUGGCCUCGGAUCAGAUAGGGAUACCCGCUGAACUUAAGCAUAUCAAUAAGCGGAGGAAAAGAAACCAACAGGGAUUGCCUCAGUAACGGCGAGUGAAGCGGCAAAAGCUCAAAUUUGAAAUCUGGCCUCACGGUCCGAGUUGUAAUUUGUAGAGGAUAAUUCGGUAUUGACUUUGGUCCAAGUCUUCUGGAACGAAGCGCCUUGGAGGGUGAGAGCCCCGUUCGAUCAAUUGUUAUUACCAUGUGAAUUUCCUUCAAAGAGUCGAGUUGUUUGGGAAUGCAGCUCAAAUUUGGUGGUAAAUUCCAUCUAAAGCUAAAUAUUGGCCAGAGACCGAUAGCGCACAAGUAGAGUGAUCGAAAGAUGAAAAGCACUUUGGAAAGAGAGUGAAACAGUACGUGAAAUUGUUGAAAGGGAAGCGCUUGCAAUCAGACUUGUAUUCAGUUGUUCCACUUGUUAUUAACAAGUUUAUUCUUCUGUUUUCAGGCCAACAUCAGUUUCAGCGGUUGGAAAAAGGUUUGAAGAAUGUGAUUCCUCGGAAUGUUAUAGCUUCUUACAUAAUACAACCUGUUGGGACUGAGGUCAGCGUUCGCUAGGAUGUUGGCGUAAUGGUUGUCAGCGGCCCGUCUUGAAACACGG
rnacentral:rRNA from 1 species